AGUCGGGACGCUUAACCGACUGCGCCACCCAGGCACCCCGAAAAAUAAAUUAUUUCUAUUUUGAAGUUGAUGCAACUAAAGACAAACACAAACUGAGUGACUCUUAAGUUCAUGUGCUUAACUACUGCUUGAGAAGUGACAAGACAGAGGCACCAAUAAGGCAAAGCUUAAAAGCAGUGGGAGGAGAAUCAGUAAAGAGGUAAACUGAAUCACCAGUGUAAGAGUCACCAAAAGACAUCUGUGCUUUACUAUUCAGCCACUACAAAGUUUCUGUUCUCUACAAGGUUUCUGUGUACUUUGAAAUAAACCUUCAUAACCUGAACACUUCUGUUCUUUGCAAUCUUAUAAAGCUUGAUAUAAAAAGAAAAUAAAUACACAGGGAAUGGAAACCAAAGAUGCAAAUAAAAGAAACUGAGAUAUCAUUUAGUAACUAUUAAAGCAGUUGUGGCAGGCAUAAUUCUAAAAGUCCAAGUCCCCAAGAUUCUACAACCUAAUCCCCAGCACCUGUAAUGUGAGGAGAUACCACUCCCAUGAUUAUAUUAUAUUGCACAGUUGGCUUUAAAACAAGAUUGUCCAGGCAGUUCUAAUCUAAUCACAUGAGCCCUUUAAAAGCUGAGUUUUCUUUGGCCAGUUUCAGAAAAGAAGUCAGACUCACAGCUUCCCUGGCUAGGCAGAGAAGCUAGCUAAGCAAUGGCUAUAUCUGUGACCUACAGAGCUGUGACACUACCAAAUGAGUGCUGGUUUAACGUGCUAAAUUUGUAGUUGUUGGUUAUGCAGCAAUAGGAAAUUUAAUUAAACAGUUACUAUAUAAUUCAGCAAUUCCACUCCUAGGUACAUACCCAAAAGAAAUUACACCAUUUAUCUACACAAAAUCUUACACAGGAAUUUUCAUAGCAGCAUCAUUCAUAACAGUCAAAAGGUGGAAACAAUGCAAAUAUCCAUCAAAUGAUCAAUAGAUAAAUGUGGUACAAUCCAUACAAUGGAACAUUAUUUGGCAAUAAAAAGAAAUGAAACACUGAUACAUGCUAAAAAGUGUAUAGAAAUUCACUGUUGGUACUAUUGUAAAUUCACACAACUCAUUUAGAAGAAAAUACAGCAAAAAGCUGUAUAUAAAAAAGAUCUGGACCCUCUGAUCUACUUCUUCCACUUUACCAUCUGUCCUAUGGAAGAAACUGGUAGAAGCAAACUGCUUCGUGCCAAAAUGGUUCAUUUUUUAAAUCACAGCAAAAAUGUAGAAACAAGUAUCCAACCUUAAAAGAAUUAUAAGACAAAUGUUGGCUUACCAACAGCAUAGAACACUAAGUAACUAAAUGUUCAUUAGUUCAACUAAUAAUGAGUGUCAAGCACUGGUGCUAAGAUGGUAAAGAUGCAACAUGAACAAGACAUCCUUAUCAUAAUAGCAGGCAGCAGAGAAUUAAACAAGGAUGCUCUGGGUGUCCUAGCAAGGGGAUCAGGGAAGAUUUCCCAGAACUAACACAGUGAGACAUAAAGAAUUAGAAGUAUCAAGCUAGGGCAAAAGAUAGGGGAGAAGGAAAGUGAACUUUAUUUCCUGUGUGAACACCCACACAUGGAAGAAACACAAGCAUUCCAAGAACUGAAGCAUUCCAAGCCUUCAGGUCAACAUACAGUAUGCAAGUAAGGUAACAUCUUAAAGGAUGAAGCCCCAUAGAGAGGCAAGGGCUAGAUCAUAUGGGACCUUGUCAGCCUCAGUAAGUAAGGAGUUUGGAUCUUAUCUAAAGCAUAGUGAGAACAUUUGAAGAAAACUGGAGAAAAAUAUCUGAUUUAUAUUUUAGAAAGAUUACUCUGUAGCAUAGAAAUCACAUUAGAGAAGAAUAAGCUGCAAGUUAGGAAAUCAGUGUAAGAGGGUACUGCACAAAGAUUACAGAGACCUGUACUACAGGAGUAAGAGUGGAGAUGAAGAAGGCAGAGUGUCUUAGUUCAAGUUGCUUAACAGAAUACCACAGACAGGGUGGCUUAAGCAAUAAACAUUUACUCUUCACAGUUCUGGAGCCUGGAAGUCCAAUCUGGAUGGUCAGGUUCUGAUGAGGACCACAACUCUUCCUGGCUUGUGGAUAGCCACCUUCUUGCUGUAUCUUCACAUGGUGAAAAAGAAAUCAUCUCUCUCCUGCCUCUUCUUAUAAGGGCACUAAUGCCAUUUAUGAGACCUCCACCCUCAUGACCUAACUAUCUCCCAACCGAACUCCAAAUACUACCACACUGCAGCUUAGAGCUUUAGCAAUAUGAAUAGAAGGGGAUCAGAAUAAAUCAUCAGUCCACAGUGUAGACUCAAGGCCUAUUUCAAUGAUGGAAUCAUCAGACCUUGGUGACUGAAAGGAUGUAGAAAGUAAGGGUAGGAAGAAUCAAGGAUGUCUGUCAGGUCCCUGACAACCAGAUGGAUGGAGCCAUUUACUGAGAUAGCACAAAGGAAAAAGCAAGAGAUUUAGACAGGGGGAGAAGAAAGUUCAUUCAUCUGAAGCACCAGUGAGACAUUCUAGAGGAACUGGGCCACUGGCAGCUCAACACAUAGCUCUGGAGUUCCAGAGACACUGUAAGUGGGAAGUAUUAACAUACAGAAUGUAACUGACACAACAGAUGAUGACGACAGCCCAGAGUUUACAUAGUAAAACAAAAAAGGACUCAGCACAGAACACAGUGAAACACCAAAAUUUAAGGAAUGAAAAGAGAAAUCAGCAAAAGAAAUGGUAGGAACAAUCACAGAAGAAGGAAAACGACAUAAUAUGGUAUCAGAGUCAACAGUCACUAGCGUUGAAUGGUGCCUAAACAUCAAGCAGUAGACAACUGUAAGGACUAUAUAAAAUAGGAGAAAAGUUUGAUAAAAUAUUCAGUGACUAAAGAACAGAAAAAAAUCCUUGAUUUCAACUUAGAAAAAGAAAUAGUUUUGCAUAGUCCCAAUAUGCAAAAUAUGGAUAGAAAGUAAAUAUGCAAAUAUAUUAAAUUUUAAAUUAUAAUCGUCUAAGGUUAUACUCUUAAAUUUAAAAGUAUUUGAGGUGUACAACUUGCCCAAAAGCCAUGAGGUAAGACCAAGCAAGUUUAUACUACCCUCUCAGAAUUGAUGUGUAUAUUUAAUAAAAGUAAAUUAACAUGAGAUGUACCAGGAUAAAAAGAAUAAUGAACUCAUAGUCUCACUGAGAACCCAGAGACCCAAAAGCUCUCAUAGAGUGUGGGAAGUGCUGAAGUUACAUUCAGAGUGCUAUGGAAACAACACAUGGUGGUUCUAAACCAGAGAGGAGAAAAUAAGAACAAAACCAGAUCAUCUGAGUUGAAUUCUGAAGGCUGGCCUGGACUCGGCUAGAUGAAGAAGUGGGAGGAAAAAACAUAUUCCACAAGUACAGUGUACUAACCACACACACACAGGUACAAAGAACCUUAGUUAUUAUAGGACUCAAGUAAAAGCUACACAUGAAUGAGUAGCAAACAAGAUUAAAGAGAUAGGUGGAGGUGAGGAUACAAAGGACCUUGUACAGUAUGAAGCUACGAGGUAUGGACCUCACUCCCAUGGCAACCCAUACAGUAAACAGAAAAUGUGACCAAGGUCAUGUAAGAAAUAACUGCCAAAAGUCCAUUCUUCCUAAGUUCCAGACUGUUUAGAUUAUCACCUUCAGGAAAAAUCUAGAAGUGGCAGAAACAGCUAGGGAAAUACUACAAUAGACUAGCCAUUCCUGUCACCAAGACCUUCCCUGUAGGAGACAAAGAACACUAAGAAAUCUCCAUCCAAGAAGAAAUCACUUUCUUGGGGGAAGUCCGGGCUUUAGUCAUGGCAAGAAGUCCAUUUUAGUAAGAUGUUACCUGGCAAAAAACACAACAUACCUGCUGGAGAGACAUGAGGACAGCUGCUCAUUUUCAGCAGCUUGAGUGUAUCGCUGUUGUUGGCCACUAGUACUUUGAGGGAUGGAUCAUCUACUGGGGUAUCAUCUAUCUUAAGCGACGACAAGGAUUUGGAAUUUACAAACACUACUGUCAGUGCAGAAAUAAAGUGAGACUAAAAAGCAAAAAAAAUGGAAACAGUUUCAACUUUCAGGCAUGAGAAUUGAGGGGUGUUCACAUAAGACAUAUAGUUCACAUAUAGUUCAUCUGAACCCUAAUGAUGUAUCCCAUAACUGUUUUAGGGGUAGCAUCCUUUCACUCUGUUGUUGGGGGUAUGGUAAAAAAGGGAGGUGACUAUUUGCUAUCUUUGAGAAAAGUCUUUUUACCUGUAGCAAAAUGAGAUUUCAAGCCUCUAAAUCACAAUAAUCACUGGUAAGUAAAAAGUAAA